CCUGAUUGGUCAGUCUACGUCUAUGAUGAGGCCUGAUUGGUCAGUCUACGCUAUGAUGAGCCCUGAUUGGUCUGUCUACGCUAUGAUGAGCCCUGAUUGGAAGAAGAGAUACAUGGGACUUCAAAGAACACUUCCUGUUCUGACACUACACUGAACGAUUUCUGCCAUGACACCUCUCCUGUUUGUCAGUAUAAACCUCAGACAUUUACAGCACAUUGCACCACUGGAAGGGGCUGAGGGGAGGACGGCUCAUAAUAAUGGCUGGAACGGCGCGAAUGGAAUGACAUCAAACACAUGGAAACUAUGUGUUCAAUGUAUUUUAUACCAUUCCACUGAUUCCGCYCCAGCCAUUACCACAAGCCCGUCCUCCUCAAUGAAGGUGUCACCAACCGCCUGUGCAUUGCACCAGCUUGGUGUCAUGGAACCAUCAAGAGCACUAUCUUCAUGUACUUUAUAGAGUCCUUACAUAUACUAUAUGGAAAGACUAUUUUUUAGACUGUGAAUGGGCGAAAACUUGCCCUAGAUUAAAAUUCCCUAGAAAAUGAACCAGAGUAUUCAAUUCACUUUAUAUGAACUGGAUCAUUUGAUUUCAUCAGAAAUGUUGUGAAUUUAAAUGGAUUGUCGUCUUUGUGAGCUUGGAACCUUCUGUAUGUAUUCCAUCACUAUGUAGGUGUGGCCAUGASGKGAAUGUACUACACACACUGUCUAUGACCCKUGUCCAUUUGUCACUAUGAUCACCUGUAACAAGUCCCAAUGGGUCAUAAUGCCCACCUAUGGACUCAUGGAUGGUUCCUGCUCUGGGCAAAGUUAGUUCAAGCUGGGAUGACCAAUGAAAUGGUACUAGAGGAAACCUGCAUUGUGGAAAACGAACACUGUCCCCGAACAGAGAGAAUGAUGAUAACGAUGAUGUCAAUCAAACAGAUGAAUCUGGCGUACAGUACUCACUGUAUCUAUGGCAUAAUGUUAUAACUGAGGAUCCUAUUCAUAUUAUUGAUGAAUUAUUGUUAUUUGUUGGGUAUUAUUGUUAUAAACCUGGGUAGUUGUUCCAAGUG